rnacentral:rRNA from 1 species
CAGGGCUUGACAUGCACGGUGCAGCGCGAGAGAUCGCGUGUCCUUUGGGGUCGUGCACAGGUGGUGCAUGGUUGUCGUCAGCUCGUGUCGUGAGAUGUUGGGUUAAGUCCCGCAACGAGCGCAACCCUCGUCCUGUAUUGCCAGCAGCACCUUCGGGUGGCUGGGGACUUGCGGGAGACUGCCGGGGUCAACUCGGAGGAAGGUGGGGAUGACGUCAAAUCAUCAUGCCCCUUAUGUCCUGGGCUGCACGCAUGCUACAAUGGCCGGUACAAAGGGCUGCGAUGCCGUGAGGCGGAGCGAAUCCCGGAAAGCCGGUCUCAGUUCGGAUCGGGGUCUGCAACUCGACCCCGUGAAGUCGGAGUCGCUAGUAAUCGCAGAUCAGCAACGCUGCGGUGAAUACGUUCCC